AGAAAAAGUAAAAGUAAACGUCCGUUGCAUAAAACCAUUCAGUUUCCUUUCUCCCUUCCGUGCUCGUUUGCCCUAAUUCAUUCUCUCACCCGAUUUUAAGUCUCAUAAACUUGGAUUUUGGUUAUUUUUCGGCACAACUCAUCAAAUUUAAGAUCCUAACUUAUGGGCGGCAUGGAAAGAAGCUUUGAAAAGUCCUAAAUUUGAGGCAGCAAGUUCUAGAAACUCUGCAAAUCAAGGCAGAGGAAAAGACAAAGCUGAGUCAACUCACAUUGGAGGUUCUAUAUCACAUGCGUGAACCAUGCGAAAGUUGAUAGAUCGAUCGAUGAUGAAACCGGACUGCUGAAUGGACUAACGACAAGGCUAAAAGAAUUCAUGUAAUUAAUGAAAAUAUUUAAUAUUGUAAUAUUAUAACAUUAGUUAUUUAUUUAAAACACAUUUUAAUAUAUCUUUUUUUAUUUGAAAGAAGAGCAUCUUCGCAUUCAUUUUGAGAAUGCAGAACGUGAUGUCAGCCAAAUUUAUUUUGAGGCAAUAAAGAAUGUGGAUGCGACGUCUGAGAAAAAAAACAAGGAAAAGAAAAGAGGUUUUGGAGUGGGGUCCACCUCACAAAUAUAUUAUCCUAGCGGCGGCAGUAUAAUUUCAUCACAGUAUUCUAACGCACAACCUGAAUAUGGUUCUAUUCUUGAUUCAAAAAUGACAGAGUUUGAGGCUAGGCAAAAACAAGCCUUUGAUCAAUUGUGCGAAGACUUCGCUAAGGUUUCAACAAUGUAGGGAUUGAAAAUCAUCAAAGGACACUUGAUACAAUUAAUAUGGAAAGAAAUCAAAUGCUUCAAUUUAUACAUCAUCAUUAUCAGCCGCGCCAAGUUCGCCAUCCUUAGUUUAAUUUAUUGUAAUGUUAUUGUAUAAUUAGUUUAGUUGUAA